UACAGAGGGGGCAAGCGUUAUUCGGAAUUAUUGGGCGUAAAGGGCGCGUAGGCGGCCUGGCAAGUGGAUGGUGAAAUCCCUCGGCUUAACCGAGGAACUGCCAUCCAGACUGCUUGGCUUGAGACCGGGAGAGGUGAGUGGAAUUCCCAGUGUAGCGGUGAAAUGCGCAGAUAUCGGGAAGAACACCCAUGGCGAAGGCAGCUCUCUGGGACGGUACUGACGCUGAGACGCGAAAGCGUGGGGAGCGAACAGG
rnacentral:rRNA from 1 species